rnacentral:rRNA from 1 species
UACAGAGGGGGCAAGCGUUAUUCGGAAUUAUUGGGCGUAAAGGGCGCGUAGGCGGCUUGGCAAGUGGAAGGUGAAAUCCCUCGGCUUAACCGAGGAACUGCCCCUCCCAAACUGCUUUGCUUGAGCCGGGAGAGGCGAGUGGAAUUCCCAGUGUAGCGGUGAAAUGCGUAGAUAUUGGGAGGAACACCAGUGGCGAAGGCGGCUCGCUGGACCGGUUCUGACGCUGAGGCGCGAAAGCGUGGGGAGCAAACAGG